rnacentral:rRNA from 1 species
UACAGAGGUCCCGAGCGUUGUUCGGAUUCACUGGGCGUAAAGGGUGCGUAGGUGGUGAGGUAAGUCGGAUGUGAAAUCUCCAGGCUCAACCUGGAAACUGCAUUGGAAACUACCUUGCUGGAGGAUUUGAGGGGGGAUUGGAAUACUUGGUGUAGCAGUGAAGUGCGUAGAUAUCAAGUGGAACACCAGUGGCGAAGGCGAAUCCCUGGAAAAUACCUGACACUGAGGCACGAAAGCUAGGGGAGCAAACAGG